AGGAAGAGAUGUAGAAGUUUGGAAGAGAAGAAAUAUUUGCUGUUUGUCUGUAUAUCUGCAGAUAAAAAGGUGUUUUUUCGGCAUGACUGACCUACAGAAAUGUGCUCUUGCUUAAAUGUGAAAAACAUACACGUGUGCUAUGGCUCAUGUAGAAUUGAGCAGUGUUAGGACCAGUAAGUGCGUUGCUGGAAAUUACAUUUUCAAAUGGAGGAUGAUGCCAGGAAACCAAACGGUUUUGAUAGCAGAUCAACACAUGACAUUUUGUUCAGAUGUUCAGAAAUCCUUUACAGACAGCUUAAUUAUCCCAGCUUCCAAAGAUUUGGCUUUUCAUUAUGGUUCUUCAGAACACCAAUUUUAAGAAUAUGAGAAGUAUUCUCUCCAUCCAUUCAGUUGUCUGUCUCUGUGCAAAGUCAGCAUAAAUCCGUCCCUGAAAUCCCUGGAGUUUCAGGGUACCAGCAGUUAGAGGAAAAGAUGAUAUGUAGGAAAUGAGCUGCUAAAAUCAGAUUGUCAAACAGGUGAAAUGAGUAAGGAGACCUCAGAAUGCCAAGGAUCCUGCUGAAUUUGACUUAGCAUGGCAGGAUGAUUGGAAGAGCACUGUAUGCAUGCUUCACUUGCUGGAUAAUAUUUGAGCCUGCUCCAAUUACAGGAAUUGUAUGACCUGAGGAGUGCAACUCAGCUGCAAGGGUGUAGUGGAAUACAGCAGAACUUUUAUAUUGUGGAUGUAGGUAUUUUAUUUUAUUUUCCUGAUCAGAUUUUUACUAGUAAGCUGACAACAAUGCUAAUUUUUCCUUCUGUACUCUGUUGCCUGUCUAUGAUUCAGUUCUUGAGGGACAACAGCUACCUGUGUGUUCUAGCUGCAAAUGGAACUUCCUUUGAAGCAAAUAAUUAAAAAUGAGAGGGGGAAUGUUCUCUCUUGAAGAAAGUCUUUAACCCUUAGAUAAUAAUAUACGGGCACAAUCAUAUUACUUAAAAGGACUGCAAAUUUAUCAGAGGUUUCCUGUCUCAAACUUAGUCCUAUCUCUGCUUUUGGGGGGAAAUAAUUUCCUAUUCUUCAACAUGAUACCAUCUGCUAGGGUCUGGAUUUGUGAAUGUAUGAAGACCAUGAGCAGCCCUGGGCAAUUGGCAUAUUUCUCUUCUUGAAAUCAUAGAAUCGUAGAAUCCUUAUAGUUGGAAGAGACCUUUAAAGGCCAUCUAGUCCAACUCCCCUGCAAUGAGCAGGACAUGCACAGCUACAUCAGGUUGCCCACGGCCUG